UACAGAGGGGGCAAGCGUUGUUCGGAAUUACUGGGCGUAAAGGGCGCGUAGGCGGCCACCUAAGUCAGACGUGAAAUCCCUCGGCUCAACCGGGGAACUGCGUCUGAUACUGGGAGGCUUGAAUCCGGGAGAGGGAUGUGGAAUUCCAGGUGUAGCGGUGAAAUGCGUAGAUAUCUGGAGGAACACCGGUGGCGAAGGCGGCAUCCUGGACCGGUAUUGACGCUGAUGCGCGAAAGCCAGGGGAGCAAACGGG
rnacentral:rRNA from 1 species